AUUGAACGCUGGCGGCAGGCCUAACACAUGCAAGUCGAACGAGUGGCGGACGGGUGAGUAAUGAAUGGGAAACUUACUGAUGGAGGGGGAUAACUACGGGAAACUGUAGCUAAUAACGCGUAGCAUAGGAGGUGCCCAAGUGGGAUGAGGUAGUUGGUGGGGUAACGGCUCACAAAGCCGACGAUCUCUAGCUGGUCUGAGAGGAGGACCAGCCACACUGGGACUGAGACACGGCCCAGACUCCUACGGGAGGCAGCAGUGGGGAAUAUUGCACAAUGGGGGCAACCCUGAUGCAGCCAUGCCGCGUGAAUGAUGAAGGCCUUCGGGUUGUAAAGUACUUUCGGUAGGGAGGCGUUAACUGCAGAAGAAGCACCGGCUAACUCCGUGCCAGCAGCCGCGGUAAUUC
rnacentral:rRNA from 1 species